rnacentral:rRNA from 1 species
GACGAGGGACCUAGCGUUGUUCGGAAUCAUUGGGCGUAAAGAGUAUGUAGGCGGCCUUGUAAGUCAGUUGUGAAAGCCCCGGGCUCAACCCGGGAAGUGCAAUUGAUACUGCUUGGCUUGAAUGUGGAAGAGGGCAGUAGAAUUCCUGGUGUAGUGGUGAAAUACGUAGAUAUCAGGAGGAAUACCGGUGGCGAAGGCGGCUGCCUGGUCCUACAUUGACGCUGAGAUACGAAAGCGUGGGGGAGCAAACAGG